UUCCCCCUUUUAAAGAUCUUUAAAAGGGGGAAUUUUAAAGAUCUUUAAAAGGGGGAAUAUUUCAUAUUCUUUAAAAGGGGGAAUAUUUAAUAUUCCCCCUUUUAAAGAUCUUUAAAAGGGGGAAUAUUCCAAAGGGGGAAUAUUGGAAUAUUCCCCCUUUUAAAGAUAUUUAA